ACGAACGCUGGCGGCGCGCUUAACACCUGCAAGUCGAACGGAAAGGCCUGUCCUUCCUUGUGUUGGACGGGUCCUCGAGUGGCGAACGGGUGAGUAACACGUGAGUGAUCUGCCCCCAACUUGGGUAUAAGCCUGGGAAACUGGGUCUAAUUCCCGAUAGGACUGCAGGGUGGUGCCUGUGGUGGAAAACGAUUUUCUAGUGGUUGGGGAUGAGCUCGCGGCCUAUCAGCUUGUUGGUGGGGUAAUGGCCUACCAAGGCGGCGACGGGUAGCCGGCCUGAGAGGGUGGACGGCCACAUUGGGACUGAGAUACGGCCCAGACUCCUACGGGAGGCAGCAGUGGGGAAUAUUACACAAUGGGCGGAAGCCUGAUGCAGCGACGCCGCGUGGGGGAUGACGGCCUUCGGGUUGUAAACUCCUUUCGACCGCGAGGAAGCCGCCUGGUUGGAAGGGUGGUGACGGUAGUGGUAGAAGAAGCACUGGCUAAGUACGUG
rnacentral:rRNA from 1 species